CACGUAGGGUCCGAGCGUUGUCCGGAUUUAUUGGGCGUAAAGGGCCCGUAGGCGGCUUGGUAAGUCGGGUGUGAAAACCCCAGGCUCAACCUGGGGACGCCACCCGAUACUGCUAUGGCUUGAGUCUGGUAGGGGAGUGCGGAACUCCUGGUGUAGCGGUGAAAUGCAUAGAUAUCAGGAAGAACACCGGUGGCGAAGGCGGCACUCUGGGCCAGUACUGACGCUGAUGGGCGAAAGCGUGGGGA
rnacentral:rRNA from 1 species